ensembl:lncRNA
GGACACUGUGUUCACUUACCAUUGAGAAGGCUAUGCCUGAAGAUGCAGGCGAAUACAAAUGCAUAGCUGAGAAUGCAGCAGGAAAAGCUGAAUGUGCUUGCAAAGUGCUGGUAGAAGAUGCCUCAUCCACAAAGACCUCAAAGCCUACUGAGAAGAAGACUAAGAAGCCUAAGACCACACUUCCCCCUGUGCUGCCAACAGAGACAUGGAACAUUUUCACCUCCUUUCAGCAGGACCCAGUGCAGUUUUGUACUGACUGAUGAGCACAGGUAAUAAUGACAUUUCUGGAACUGUUGACUUACAUAGAGCUAUGCCCUGGACUACGGCUAUUUCUGAUUUGCUGGGUGAAUAAUAUAACUUUCUCCCCAGCCAAUCAUUUUGGGGUGUGGAAGGGUCACACCAACGUGCUCCACCCCUGCACUUGAGCUACAAAUGCUGUGAAUAAUAGCCAUUAAGAACAAUGAUUUUGCUCUUGAACAUCAAUAGAAAAGCAUGUUUUAAAGCCAUUUAAAGCUCCACUGGAUAUCAUUUUGAAUAGUUUUUUCUAUGCAGACAAAUGCAUACAUUUUCUCUGAUCCUCCCAGUAGUGUUAGCAAUCCCAGGAGAAACUGCGAGUUGGGAACUAAGUCUAAACAUACAGAUAUAUGACCUGAUCCACAUCCUGCUAAAAUCACUGCUUGCUGUUGAUUUUAGUGGAAAUUGGAAGCUAGAAACUCUGGCUUCAGAAAUGAUUGGGGAAAAAAAUCAAAAUAAUGGUGAAUGGUUUUCUUAAGGUUGCCUCAUUGCAUAUUAUAUCAGUGUUUAAAAUUCUUUAACUUCUCGUUAGAUUUGUUUUCAAAAUACCUUUAAAACCUCUUUCCUGUUUGCACUGAAAACACCAAGGUAACCAGGGCGAAUGUUCAGAAUCUGGGCUUUGGAAUAGUUUUUUGAAAACUUUGGGAAAUACAUAUUUAAUUUUAAAAGGAUUUGACUGCAGAGAUUCCACAGGUGGUUUUUAACAUCUCAGCCUCAGUCUCUGAGGACUGUAGGUAUUCAUCUCCCUGGAAUGAGUGUUAUAUUUGUACGUUUGUCAGGGGCAAAAUAUAAAAAACUGAUCCAGCCGACUUCACAGUUUCAAUUUAAACUAAAAUCCCUUUCAGAAGUAGAGAUCUUUAAGUUCCUUACCUGAAAGGGAACAGGCUUAACAAGUCACAAAUUUGUGCAUCUUACUGUAUUUCUUUCAAAAAGAAGGUUAAUAAAGAAUAACUAUGAAUUAAGGUGUCUCAGUCUAAUAAGGAGAUUAAUUUUUAGUCUGAUCUCUUCCAGUCUUUGUUGCCACAUUAACUAACCAACAGUCUUAAUGGCAAGUUGAGUGUGAGGAGUGAUACUGAAGAAAUAGAUGACAAAAAUUUCUAUUAUUCCCACUGAAUAAAUUCUGAAUUUUGUAUAGUGAAUUCAGUUACAACAGAAGCUAUAUACUCUGUCAUUUUUAGAAAUACUUCUCAGAGGAAAAAAAUAUCCAUGUUUUUCAUUUUGUGUAAGAAAGUGCAAGCCAAAUUUCAUGGUUAGCAGCUAUGUCCACCUUGUCUCCCUUCAAAUAAAUUAUAAGUGAUCCUUGGGUUUUGCCCUAGUAGAAGCCUUUGGGAAAGUAAUUAACUUUUAGUUCCUGAAAGCAAAGAUCAAUAGAUUUCUCCUUGUGAAAGAGAAUGAAUGUUGUCACUAUGUUAAUCUAUAGAAUUUGUCUCACUGAGAGAAUAGUUGCUGACCCAGGUCAUUUGACUGCUCAUUUUUACAUUAUUUUAUUACUGGAAGCUUGGGGUUUUUAAGCUGCAGAAAUCCAACAGUAUUCUAAACCAGACCCUGGUUUAGAAUAAGCAGUUAUUCUCAGAAAAACAUCUAUGAAGGCAGCUUUGUAGCAUUCAAUGACUUAAUGAUAUCCCUGAAUGGAUGUGUGCAGUGUCUACAUGCAGAAAGAUUGCUCCCAUGGUAACAAAUUAGGAAAAUUAUGAUAUUUGGUUUUGCUUACAAUUAAUAUUGUGUCACCAGAAUUUAGUAAUAGUUACAGCUCUGUAAUGAUAAAUAGAAUAAAUAAUAAAGUUUCUAAGAACAAGAAACAUAUCCACCUUUGAAUCUGAUUGAAAUCAAUCCUAAGGAAGCAUGGAGGAAGGGCACCUCCUUUUUAAAUGUUGGAAUUGGUUCAUUCUUCACUGACUGUAUUGACUUAGGCUUUGUCACUUUUUUUUUUUGCUAGGUGGAUGUGAAAUGAUACUGAGUUAUAGUAAUAAAGUGUUAUGUUUCUUCUGCACAGAUAUAAAAAAUUAGCAGAGUCAGUGGAAAAUUGCAACCUUUCAUUAUUUAGCAUACUGCAUACUCCAUGCUAUGCCAGAACAAUCAGUGGAUAAUACAAGGGUCUUCUAGUUUGACGUAGCCCUGCAGCAGAAGUUCUAAGCCAAAAAUUCUCACCACUUGAACGUUUCUCUAGAGAGCUUCGAAAGCAUCUGCUGCAAAGGAAUUUGGGCACCCAAUACCCAUUGAUAUUAGAAGUUACUUCGAAUUACGCUUAAAGGGAAUUGCUUAUUUCAAUUACCAAGGCUGCCUGCAAAAUCUUCAGUGCCUAUUAAAGAAAUCUUUCUGUUCCAACAGACUGUGGAAAAAUCAAAGUGCUGCUUGAGAUUUUUAAGACUAAGCAAUGAUCUGAAGGUUUAUAAAUUAAUAUUCUCUUUUUCAAAAAAUAUGUUACUACUCCACACUCUCUAAUAUUUUGUUCUCCUUAAUGUGCCUUUAGCUGAGGACCAAAAGAGCUUAUUCCUAGCUGGAGUAAUUAGCCCAAGAUCAGGCACUUUCCUUUGCAGAUCUAGCACCCAACUUUCUUGAUCCUCAGCCUCAUUAUUAGUUUGUAUGCAACAUCCCAAAUACUAUAAUGUUUUUUUUUAACUGACAUCCCAAAAAUGUACGUAAAACAUGAGUUUUCCAAAAGGUUUUUUUUUUUUUUCUCAAAGUUUUUUUUUCAAGAUUUGCUGAGGAAAAAGGCAUAUUACAAGAAUUAGAUGCUAUUUUUUAAACUUCACCACAGCUGAGCUGUGCAACAUAACUUUACUAUAGUAGGAAGAAACUGUAUCCUCUUCAUUGCUACUGAGAAAAGAAUUUGCUUUAAGGCUUUAGAAAAUAACCCUCCUAAAUCUAAGCAUUGUUUUAAAGGGUUUGGAAAGAAAUGCCACUGCUUUUUGUAGGGCUAGUUCACUGCACUACUUCCAGUAAAUAUUAAGAAAUAGCAACUAUCACCUGUCAUAAUAAGUGGUACGAAAA